rnacentral:rRNA from 1 species
AUGCUGCAUUAUGAGGGUGACACUGAAGUUGAGGACCCAUUUGAGGUAGAGGAAGAUAGGACUUUUGAACAAGAAGAAGAAACUAUAGUUGAACCUGUAAAGAAGAAGCAGAAGCUGCCAGUUAGAAGAGGCCCAACCACUAGGUCACAUUGUAGUGAGCUACCAGAGGUUGAACCUGAUUUCAGACCAUCAUCAGAUGAAGAAGAGGAGGGGUUGUUGAGGGAGAGUGAUGAUGAUGGUUUUCAGCCACUCUCUUUUGUCCUACGAAAGAAAAGGAAGAGUAGGGCAAAGAAAAGGCCUCCUAGGAAGUGGUACAAUGAGAAAAUGGAGCAACCACAUGAGCAACUGUGUAUGAAGUUGUGUUUUAGGGAUCAGCAUCAAUUCAGAGAAGCUUUGUUGAAUUUGCACAUCACCCAGGCCAGGAAUUUCAGGUAUCACAGGAAUUCAGAUCAGAGGAUAAUUGUUGAGUGUACAGAUAAAAAAUGCCAGUUCUUAAUGGUGGCAGCAGUUAUAAAAGGGGAGAAAACAUUUGUAAUUAAGAAGAUGAGACUAGAGCACACUUGCCCUAGUACCACUGAGACCACCAGGGUUAGUGCUAAGUGGCUAGCACAGAAAUAUGAGCAUCUCUUUAGAUCUGAUAUAACUACUGGUAUUCAGACUAUAAUUGAUGCAUGCAAUGAAAAAUAUGGUGUAGAUGUGCCCAAGUGCAUGGCAUAUAGGGCAAAGAACAUAGCUAUUGAUGCUGUGUUAGGAGAUCACAGGAAGCAAUAUCCUAGGCUUAAAGACUAUGCUCAGACUGUCAUGGACACAAACCCUGGGAGUAGAGUAAUAGUCACUACUGUUACUCCAGUACCUAAUGCAAAAAUACCCCACCCAGGCCCAAGAUUCCAUGCCAUGUUUUUUUGCCUUAAUGGAGCAAGGGAGGGGUUUCUCAAUGGGUGUAGGCCUUUCAUUGGUUAG